UGUAUAUAGCCUCCACAUUGACUCUGUACCGGUACCACCUGUAUAUAGCCUCCGCAUUGACUCUGUACCAGUACCCCCUGUAUAUAGCCUCCACAUUGACUCUGUACCGGUACCCCCUGUAUAUAGCCUCCACAUUGACUCUGUACCAGUACUCCUGUAUAUAGCCUCCACAUUGACUCUGUACCCCUGUAUAUAGCCUCCACAUUGACUCUGCACCAGUACUCCUGUAUAUAGCCUCCACAUUGACUCUGUACCAGUACCCCUGUAUAUAGCCUCCACAUUGACUCUGUACCAGUACCCCUGUAUAUAGCCUCCACAUUGACU
ensembl:lncRNA